rnacentral:lncRNA from 1 species
GCCCAGCUUCAUUAGCAGGAAGAGAUUCGGUGCUGUACUGGGGAGCUAGCUACACAGAAGUAGUCCUAAGCGUGGUCAACUCAACAUCUCCAGCUCAGCCUCUUCCAGUUCGCUAUCUUCCAAAUUCUGAAUCCGCUUGCUGGACAUCUCCUCACCAGGCUAGUAUAUGCGCUCGCGCUCUCUCUUUCUCCUCAGAAGCAAGCAGGGAUGUGUGUGUGUGUGUGUGUACAGCUUAAAAUGUUGGAGAAGGGAAGACAAGUAAAGGGGGUGACGUUGGCUACAAGCAUGGUGGAUACCAUGGGUCCCUGAGGAAA